GCCUCCUUCCUCCGCCGGCGGCCAAAGGAGGGUCCGCGCGCCGGCCCCGCGGGGUCACCCCACAACAGGUACUGUCUGUUCUCAGAAACUCAACUAUCUUAUAACUACUUUAUCAGAAGAACUUACAGUUGGCUACGAGACUCCACCCCAUCAUGGCAGAAGAAGAGCUGGCUUCAGUUAUUCAUGCCUUCAUCAUCUUUCAGGUGGACUACAGCAAUGUGACAUACCUGGGCAUGAAACCUUCAGCACUCUGGAACUUCCAACUACUAUAAAACACUCCAGCACAGUCUCCUCAAAAACACAGGCUACUAUGAACACAUCCUACUCUCUAAACUGGCUCUGGAUAGAAUUCUGAAUCAAGUUCAAGGUAUUGAUCCUUAUCCUCAAAUUUUUCCAUGGCCUGGGCUCAAGAUACAAAAGAAUCUCAGAGUUACGAACGCCUUGGGAAUGGAGUCAAGUAUCAGAGGGGUA